rnacentral:rRNA from 1 species
GAUGAACGCUGGCGGCGUGCCUAAUACAUGCAAGUCGAGCGAAUGGAUUGGGAGCUUGCUCUUAUGAAGUUAGCGGCGGACGGGUGAGUAACACGUGGGUAACCUGCCCAUAGGACUGGGAUAACUCCGGGAAACCGGGGCUAAUACCGGAUAACAUUUUGAACCGCAUGGUUCGAAAUUGAAAGGCGGCUUCGGCUGUCACUUAUGGAUGGACCCGCGUCGCAUUAGCUAGUUGGUGAGGUAACGGCUCACCAAGGCAACGAUGCGUAGCCGACCUGAGAGGGUGAUCGGCCACACUGGGACUGAGACACGGCCCAGACUCCUACAGGAGGCAGCAGUAGGGAAUCUUCCGCAAUGGACGAAAGUCUGACGGAGCAACGCCGCGUGAGUGAUGAAGGCUUUCGGGUCGUAAAACUCUGUUGUUAGGGAAGAACAAGUGCUAGUUGAAUAAGCUGGCACCUUGACGGUACCUAACCAGAAAGCCACGGCUAACUACGUGCCAGCAGCCGCCGUAA